CAACCCUUAAGCCUUGUAGCUUAGCGUUGGGAAUCUACCCCUCACUGAGGGGUAGUUCCUUAAAUUUAGUGGCGGGGUUAUAGCACACUCUAAGCGUAGUAGUUUAACUCGCUUUCAGGGAGGCUGUAGCUGCUUGCCGUAAAACCCCCUAUAACUUAUAGU
rnacentral:misc_RNA from 1 species